rnacentral:rRNA from 1 species
GACGAACGCUGGCGGCGUGCUUAACACAUGCAAGUCGAACGGAAAGGCCCUGCUUUUGUGGGGUGCUCGAGUGGCGAACGGGUGAGUAACACGUGAGUAACCUGCCCUUGACUUUGGGAUAACUUCAGGAAACUGGGGCUAAUACCGGAUAGGAGCUCCUGCUGCAUGGUGGGGGUUGGAAAGUAUCGGCGGUUGGGUAUUGACUCGCGGCUUAUCAGCUUGUUGGUGGGGUAGUGGCUUACCAAGGCUUUGACGGGUAGCCUGCCUGAGAGGGUGAACAGCCACAGUGGGACUGAGGGACGGAGCAGCAUGGUACGGGAGGCAACAGGGGAGAAUAUUGCAGAGUAGCCGGGAGCGUGAGGUAGAGACCUUGCGAGCGGGAAGACGGCUUAUGGGGUGUGAACCACUGUCGCCUGAGAUGAAGCGGGAGUGACGGUAAUGAGUAAGGAAGCAACGGCUAACUACGUG